AGAUAUUGCCGUGAGAGUUCUCUUCAAUGAACUAAGACACUUCCGGUCCAUGCUUUUAAAACAAGAAAGAACACAUUGGGAAAAUGAAUAAUAUUGUAUUUCUAGGUAGUAGAAAGUUUAGAUGUAACUGUAACAUGGAAUGACUGGCUUUCUACUUGAUGAGGAAAGACCUAACAACAACUUACCCAGUGUAUCCCAUAUGAGCUAUCAAUAUGAUGGCAUCCUUUGGAACAACCUCCAGUAUCUUUUAU
rnacentral:misc_RNA from 1 species